rnacentral:rRNA from 1 species
AACGAUAGCUAAUACCGCAUAAUAGUAGAUGUUGCAUGACAUUUACUUAAAAGGUGCAAUUGCAUCACUACCAGAUGGACCUGCGUUGUAUUAGCUAGUUGGUGGGGUAACGGCUCACCAAGGCGACGAUACAUAGCCGACCUGAGAGGGUGAUCGGCCACACUGGGACUGAGACACGGCCCAG